AUAUAUACUACGCAGAUCUUAGAGAAAAAUCAGUUCUUCUAAAAACUAUAUUGAAAUAGCGUAUAAUUAUGAAUCCAAUAACAUUUCGUUUGUUCUUGGCAGCAGUUUUCACGCUAACAGUUACAAUAAUGCCUGCAGUAUAUGCAACUGCUGAACCCGAUGCGGAUGCUGUAAUAGGUCCAUGUCCAAAAAUUAAAGGACUCGUGUGUUGACGGAGCAUAUUUCAAGAGGACUUUAUAAGCAUUAAACUUAAUGUAUUGCAAAUUAUGAAAUAAACAAAAGCUUAAAUUAGA